rnacentral:lncRNA from 1 species
AAAGAUGGAUAAAGUUCGACAUAUGUCAUAAGAAUAGGGUCGAAAGAGACCUUUUUCCUUUCAAAAUUCUGUUGUUGUUGUAGUUGUUUGUUCUUUGUAGUGGUUGUUGUUGAUGUUGUUGUUGAUGUUGUUGUUGAACUGACAUUGAUUGAUUGUUGGAAAAUACUGGAAUAACGGAUGAACCUUGAUAAUGAUGUUGACGCGAUUGUGGACUUCUUCUGACAUGAGGCCUCUUUUGCCUCCCUACAAAUACUACAUUGGUUUC